rnacentral:misc_RNA from 1 species
GAGACAACACCCAAUCUGGUGAGCUACCGACCCAAAGCCCUAUACCGGUAUUCUUGUGCUUAAAAUCAGGUGCUUUCUGAUUCAACUUACUAACUCUGUUGUCCCACCAUUUAUCAGGAUUCUCCAGCAAAUCUUUCCAGCAAUCAACGUCCUUCCCAAUGCCUUUAGGUUUAGGAGCAUAAGCAUCGAAUUCAAGUCCUUCAAGUCCCUCAAGAACCCACCUUGGAGCGUUCUCAAUCCACAGAGAAGUACUACUAUCCUUUUUCUUGAAAUCAGGGUGCCUUGCUUUCACAAUUCCAUCUAACUUCGCCUUUCGACAAUCCCACCAUUGUUUCGAAUUCUUAAUAAGGUCCCUCCAAUCAUCACCUCCCGUAACACCUUCCUCCGACUUGCUCCCACCCAAAUUAACAGAAUCGUCAUAUUCUAAACCAGACAACCUAUCUUUCUGUUUGACCAAAUAAUCAGA